rnacentral:rRNA from 1 species
GAUGAACGAGGGAGGCGUGCCUAAUACAUGCAAGUCGAGCGAACGGACGAGAAGCUUGCUUCUCUGAUGUUAGCGGCGGACGGGUGAGUAACACGUGGAUAACCUACCUAUAAGACUGGGAUAACUUCGGGAAACCGGAGCUAAUACCGGAUAAUAUUUUGAACCGCAUGGUUCAAAAGUGAACGACGGUCUUGCUGUCACUUAUAGAUGGAGCCGCGCUGCAUUAGCUAGUUGGUAAGGUAACGGCUUACCAAGGCAACGAUGCAUAGCCGACCUGAGAGGGUGAUCGGCCACACUGGAACUGAGACACGGUCCAGACUCCUACGGGAGGCAGCAGUAGGGAAUCUUCCGCAAUGGGCGAAAGCCUGACGGAGCAACGCCGCGUGAGUGAUGAAGGUCUUCUGAUCGUAAAACUCUGUUAUUAGGGAAGAACAUAUGUGUAAGUAACUGUGCACAUCUUGACGGUACCUAAUCAGAAAGCCACGGCUAACUACGUG